rnacentral:snRNA from 1 species
UAGUAUUAUAGCUCUUUCAGAAUUUGUCUAGCAGAUUUUCUGGUUUAUAGUGUACAUA